GAUGAAGAACGUAGCGAAAUGCGAUAAGUAAUGUGAAUUGCAGAAUUCGGUGAAUCAUCGAAUCUUUGAACGCACAUUGCGCCCGCCAGUAUUCUGGCGGGCAUGCCUGUCUGAGCGUCAUUUCAACCCUCAUGCCCCUAGGGCGUGGUGUUGGGGAUCGGCCAAAGCCCGCGAGGGACGGCCGGCCCCUAAAUCUAGAGGCGGACCCGUCGUGGCCUCCUCUGCGAAGUAGUGAUAUUCCGCAUCGGAGAGCGACGAGCCCCUGCCGUUAAACCCCCAACUUUCCAAGGUUGACCUCAGAUCAGGUAGGAAUACCCGCUGAACUUAAGCAUAUCAAUAAGCGGAGGA
rnacentral:misc_RNA from 1 species